AUUGAACGCUAGCGGGAUGCUUUACACAUGCAAGUCGAACGAGUGGCGGACGUGUGAGUAAUAUAUCGGAACGUGCCCAGUAGCGGGGGAUAACUACUCGAAAGAGUGGCUAAUACCGCAUACUCUUUGACCUGCCGAUAUGGGAUUAGCUAGUUGGUGGGGUAAAGGCUUACCAAGUCAACGAUCCGUAGCUGGUUUGCGAGGACGACCAGCCACACUGGGACUGAGACACGGCCCAGACUCCUACGGGAGGCAGCAGUGGGGAAUUUUGGACAAUGGGGGAAACCCUGAUGCAGCCAUCCCGCGUGUAUGAGAAGGCCUUCGGGUUGUAAAGUACUUUUGGCAGAGAAGCGGUACCUGCAGAAUAAGCACCGGCUAACUACGUGCCAGCAGCCGCGGUAAUAC
rnacentral:rRNA from 1 species